rnacentral:rRNA from 1 species
UACGGAGGAUGCGAGCGUUAUCCGGAUUUAUUGGGUUUAAAGGGCGUGUAGGCGGGAAUGCAAGUCAGAUGUGAAAACUCAGGGCUCAACCCUGAGCCUGCAUUUGAAACUGUAUUUCUUGAGUGCUGGAGAGGCAAUCGGAAUUCCGUGUGUAGCGGUGAAAUGCGUAGAUAUACGGAGGAACACCAGUGGCGAAGGCGGAUUGCUGGACAGUAACUGACGCUGAGGCGCGAAAGCGUGGGGAGCAAACAGG